rnacentral:misc_RNA from 1 species
AUGAAUCCUUGCGGGUAUUACCACUGAAGCAGAUACCAUGGGUCCGGAUGAGAUCCUGAUUUGCAUUCAUUAGAGGUAAACCACGCAAAUGGUGAUGGUUUUGAGGGAGUGAGGAGCUCAAAUGGGUGAGCUGUGGUUCUGCUAUGGUUUAGAAGAAGGUUAUUUGUGUUUUGGGCGAGAUAUAGCAGUGGUAAGAGGCACUCUUUUGGAAAAAAAUGGAGGUAAUACUAGAGUGGGCUUUGUAGAUGUGUGAAGUGAAAGUGAAAAUGGAGAAGGGAAGCUGUUGUGAGUGAGUUGCAUCAAGGAAAGGAGAAACUAGGUCUAACGUUAGGGAGCUGUUUGGGUGUUGAGGGUUGAAAUGUUGGGAUUGUUUUUUAGCAGAGCUGGGAGAGUUGUGUUGUUUAGGAAGAAGAAGUG